UGAGUUCACUUAAUGAAUGCUCGUUCAUAUUUGUAUAGGUAAUAAAGGAAUUCCGAGAUGAUGAGAUUGAGCAUCAUGACACAGGAUUGGAGCAUGAUGCUGAAUCGGUUCCUGGAUACUGGAUAUUUAAAAAUGCAAUUCAGCUUGGCUGCAAAGCUGCAAUAUAUGCUUCUCAGCGAAUCUAACAUUGUGAUUGGAAUAAUGGACUUUCUUUGGACAAUAUUUGAUAUGUUGACCCAGUAUAUAUAAAUGGUUUGAAUUUGAUUGUUCUACUUUGCAAGAUACAAACAUUCAAAGCAACCUAGAUAAAUCAUAAUGUCAAAUCAUGUCUACAAUGUAUAAGACAUGGACAGUUUAAUUAAGUGUGUUGGUUAAUAAGCUGCAUUCAGACCAAAUUGUCAUUGGUUGGUACAAUCGCUGGUGUUACUUUCAUAAGUAGAAAAGAGACUCAUAACAUAAUUUUGUGGGUGUGGGAUUGUAAAUGUGUGCAAGAGAGAAAGACAAAAAGAGACAAAGCUCAUGUCUUUAAAGAAGUGGUAAUUGUUUUGCUGCUUUUACAAAACAAUACAAUAUCCAAUAAAGAACACCAUUUGUAAUAA